rnacentral:lncRNA from 1 species
UUUUGAAAUUCCUUGCCUUUUUACUAUACCGUCUCACCACUUAGCCUUUUUUUUUUAACAAAAAACUUGGCUUAAAGACACAGCUGCUAGAACACGUGAGUAUAAAAAACUUUUUCUCUUUUCUCCUUAAGUUAAAUUGGAAUCAGCAGUUUUUUUCUUUUUCUUCCCUUUAAUCUUAAGGGACAGCUGGGUAGCUCAGCGGAUUGAGAGCCAGCCCUAGAGGCAGAAGGUCCUGGGUUCAAAUCGGACCUCAGAUACUUCCCAGCUGUGUGACUCUGAUAGACAGAAAACAGCUGUUUUUAAAUCUCAGCAACAGGACUCUAAAGUCCUGGCUGGAAGAACUGUUUCUAAAUAUCCUUUCCCUUAAGGAACAACUUCCUGCAUUAAAAAAAAAAAAAACCCUGUGGAAAGUUUGUUGCUUUGCCCUGCUCCCCACGUGUUUUGUGAAAUUACAAAAUAUAUAUAUAUAAAAAUGAGUACUACAUUCUUUGACAAUUAUAUGGCAGCUGAAGAAGUAGGGGCAUUGAGGAAUGAAGGAUACCUCCAAAUUUUUAUAUUAAUAGGUACUGUCAUUUUUGUACUCCUCAAUACUAUAUUUAGAGAUGAAAAAAUAAAAAAUAUUGAGGAUAAAAUAAAACAAAAUGAGGAUAAAAUAAAACAAAAUGAGGAUAAAAUAAAACAAAAUGAGGAUAAAAUAAAACAAAAUGAGGAUAAAAUAGAAAAUAUUGAGGAUAAAAUAGAAAAUGUUGAGGAUAAAAUAGAAAAUAUUGAGGAUAAAAUAGAAAAUAUUGAGGAUAAAAUAGAAAAAAUUGAGGAUACAAUAGAAAAAAUUGAGGAUACAAUAGAAAAAAUUGAGGAUAAAAUAGGAAAUAUUGAGAAUAAAAUAGAAAAACUUGAGGAUAAAAUAGGAAAUAUUGAGAAUAAAAUAGGAAAUAUUGAGGAUAAAAUGGGAAAUAUGGAAGAUAAAAUAGGAAAAAUUGAGGAUAAAAUGCAAGCCCAAUUAGAAGAUCUAAAAAGUUUCUUACAGGAUCAAUUGGCAAACAACCACUCUACCAGAAACAGACCUGUUUCUGAACCUUUGAAUGAGGAAAUUUCCUUCCCUGAAAUAGAGAUGGAAAACACCUUCCCUAUAGCCCAGUUAACAGACUGCUUCUCUCGUGUAGUGCAAAUCUUGUCUGAAUUUAAUCCCCAAAACCCUUCCCCUGCAAUCCCAGCUUCUCAUGUUCCUUCUCCUACAGAAAACCAAAUUCCAAUGCAAGGGAGAUCUUGUCCUCCUAGAGAAACCUGUCCUUGUCAAACUGACCCACAGGUGCUGUCUGUCAAGGGACCACUCACUGGAAGCUCAACCGAGAAAUGGAACCAGUUCAGAGACACAGUGAAGGAAACAUUAAAGGCAGUCCUAGGC